GACGGAGGAGGCAAGCGUUAUCCGGAAUCAUUGGGCGUAAAGCGUCCGCAGGUGGCUUAUCAAGUCUGCUGUUAAAGCUCAGGGCUCAACCCUGAACCAGCCGUGGAAACUGGUAAGCUUAGAGUGCGGUAGGGGUAGAGGGAAUUCCCGGUGUAGCGGUGAAAUGCGUAGAGAUCGGGAAGAACACCAGUGGCGAAGGCGCUCUACUGGACCGCAACUGACACUGAGGGACGAAAGCUAGGGGAGCGAAUGGGAUUAGAUACCCCAGUAGUCCUAGCCGUAAACGAUGGACACUAGGUGUUGCGCGUAUCGACCCGUGCAGUGCCGGAGCCAACGCGUUAAGUGUCCCGCCUGGGGAGU
rnacentral:rRNA from 1 species